rnacentral:rRNA from 1 species
UUAAGCGACUAAGCGUACACGGUGGAUGCCCUGGCAGUCAGAGGCGAUGAAGGACGUGCUAAUCUGCGAAAAGCGUCGGUAAGGUGAUAUGAACCGUUACAGCCGGCGAUGUCCGAAUGGGGAAACCCAGUGCAAUUCGUUGCACUAUCGUUAACUGAAUACAUAGGUUAACGAGGCGAACCGGGGGAACUGAAACAUCUAAGUACCCCGAGGAAAAGAAAUCAACCGAGAUUCCCCCAGUAGCGGCGAGCGAACGGGGAGCAGCCCAGAGUCUGAAUCAGCUUGUGUGUUAGUGGAACGGUCUGGAAAGUCCGACGGUACAGGGUGAUAGUCCCGUACACCAAAAUGCACAGGUUGUGAACUCGAAGAGUAGGGCGGGACACGUGGUAUCCUGUCUGAAUAUGGGGGGACCAUCCUCCAAGGCUAAAUACUCCUGACUGACCGAUAGUGAACCAGUACCGUGAGGGAAAGGCGAAAAGAACCCCGGCGAGGGGAGUGAAAAAGAACCUGAAACCGUGUACGUACAAGCAGUGGGAGCACCUUUAUGGUGUGACUGCGUACCUUUUGUAUAAUGGGUCAGCGACUUAUAUUCUGUAGCAAGGUUAACCGUAUAGGGGAGCCGCAGGGAAACCGAGUCUUAACUGGGCGUUAAGUUGCAGGGUAUAGACCCGAAACCCGGUGAUCUAGCCAUGGGCAGGUUGAAGGUUGGGUAACACUAACUGGAGGACCGAACCGACUAAUGUUGAAAAAUUAGCGGAUGACUUGUGGCUGGGGGUGAAAGGCCAAUCAAACCGGGAGAUAGCUGGUUCUCCCCGAAAGCUAUUUAGGUAGCGCCUCGUGAAUUCAUCUUCGGGGGUAGAGCACUGUUUCGGCUAGGGGGUCAUCCCGACUUACCAACCCGAUGCAAACUACGAAUACCGAAGAAUGUUAUCACGGGAGACACACGGCGGGUGCUAACGUCCGUCGUGAAGAGGGAAACAACCCAGACCGCCAGCUAAGGUCCCAAAGUCACAGUUAAGUGGGAAACGAUGUGGGAAGGCACAGACAGCCAGGAUGUUGGCUUAGAAGCAGCCAUCAUUUAAAGAAAGCGUAAUAGCUCACUGGUCGAGUCGGCCUGCGCGGAAGAUGUAACGGGGCUAAACUGUGCACCGAAGCUGCGGCAGCGACACUAUGUGUUGUUGGGUAGGGGAGCGUUCUGUAAGCCUGCGAAGGUGGCCUGUGAGGGUUGCUGGAGGUAUCAGAAGUGCGAAUGCUGACAUAAGUAACGAUAAUGCGGGUGAAAAGCCCGCACGCCGGAAGACCAAGGGUUCCUGUCCAACGUUAAUCGGGGCAGGGUGAGUCGACCCCUAAGGCGAGGCCGAAAGGCGUAGUCGAUGGGAAACAGGUUAAUAUUCCUGUACUUGGUGUUACUGCGAAGGGGGGACGGAGAAGGCUAUGUUAGCCGGGCGACGGUUGUCCCGGUUUAAGCAUGUAGGCGGAGGUUCCAGGUAAAUCCGGUACCUUUUUAACGCUGAGGUGUGAUGACGAGGCACUACGGUGCUGAAGUAACAAAUGCCCUGCUUCCAGGAAAAGCCUCUAAGCAUCAGGUAACAUUAAAUCGUACCCCAAACCGACACAGGUGGUCAGGUAGAGAAUACCAAGGCGCUUGAGAGAACUCGGGUGAAGGAACUAGGCAAAAUGGUGCCGUAACUUCGGGAGAAGGCACGCUGAUAUGUAGGUGAAGCCCCUGCGGGUGGAGCUGAAAUCAGUCGAAGAUACCAGCUGGCUGCAACUGUUUAUUAAAAACACAGCACUGUGCAAACACGAAAGUGGACGUAUACGGUGUGACGCCUGCCCGGUGCCGGAAGGUUAAUUGAUGGGGUUAUCCGUAAGGAGAAGCUCUUGAUCGAAGCCCCGGUAAACGGCGGCCGUAACUAUAACGGUCCUAAGGUAGCGAAAUUCCUUGUCGGGUAAGUUCCGACCUGCACGAAUGGCGUAAUGAUGGCCAGGCUGUCUCCACCCGAGACUCAGUGAAAUUGAACUCGCUGUGAAGAUGCAGUGUACCCGCGGCAAGACGGAAAGACCCCGUGAACCUUUACUAUAGCUUGACACUGAACAUUGAGCCUUGAUGUGUAGGAUAGGUGGGAGGCUUUGAAGCGUGGACGCCAGUCUGCGUGGAGCCAACCUUGAAAUACCACCCUUUAAUGUUUGAUGUUCUAACGUUGGCCCCUUAUCGGGGUUGCGGACAGUGUCUGGUGGGUAGUUUGACUGGGGCGGUCUCCUCCCAAAGAGUAACGGAGGAGCACGAAGGUUAGCUAAUCCUGGUCGGACAUCAGGAGGUUAGUGCAAUGGCAUAAGCUAGCUUGACUGCGAGCGUGACGGCGCGAGCAGGUGCGAAAGCAGGUCAUAGUGAUCCGGUGGUUCUGAAUGGAAGGGCCAUCGCUCAACGGAUAAAAGGUACUCCGGGGAUAACAGGCUGAUACCGCCCAAGAGUUCAUAUCGACGGCGGUGUUUGGCACCUCGAUGUCGGCUCAUCACAUCCUGGGGCUGAAGUAGGUCCCAAGGGUAUGGCUGUUCGCCAUUUAAAGUGGUACGCGAGCUGGGUUUAGAACGUCGUGAGACAGUUCGGUCCCUAUCUGCCGUGGGCGCUGGAGAAUUGAGGGGGGCUGCUCCUAGUACGAGAGGACCGGAGUGGACGCAUCACUGGUGUUCGGGUUGUCAUGCCAAUGGCAUUGCCCGGUAGCUAAAUGCGGAAGAGAUAAGUGCUGAAAGCAUCUAAGCACGAAACUUGCCCCGAGAUGAGUUCUCCCUGAGACUUUAAGUCUCCUGAAGGAACGUUAAAGACGAUGACGUUGAUAGGUCGGGUGUGUAAGCGUAGCGAUACGUUGAGCUAACCGAUACUAAUGAACCGUGAGGCUUAACCUU